GUUUUUGCUUACUUGGAACUUUUGAUGUAGUUAUAUCUUAAUAACUCGUAGUUAUAGUCACUAAAUGCAUUAAUCAUAAGAAGGCGAAACACCCUGUAACUCCAACACAUUGCUUUGGAUCAUAUCAGAUCAGACUGUUUCUAGUUUUUGCUGCAGGACACUGUAGGAUGAAGUGUUCACCAGCCUCCGCAACGUGUCUGCCAUAUUACACGGUGUCUACCUCGCCUUUAAUCUUGUUAAAGACUUCAGGAUGUCCCAGAGCAAAGCACUGCACUUCUUAAGCCGGUGCAAGUCUGCACGACAGCUGCCCUCCUGCCUUUGUACACACACACACACAUACACACACACACAAUCCUGCACUUGCCGUUGGACAGGAUGCUAUGGACACUCUUUAGUUGUAGCAACAGUGUUAGUUGUCCCACCCCCAGGCUCUGAGUGCUCAAAGUUGUCCACUUCCUGUGAGGGACUUCAGGCUUGUGAUGUUGUAAAGAAGACUCUGUUAUUGUAGGGCAGGUGUUAGAUGUCGGAGUUUGUUUACAUGUGGUGGUUUGUUGUUUAGUCUAGUUCCCCUGCUAAACUGCAAAAAUAACCCCUGUGUAUAUAUCUCUUUCAACUCCAUAAAUGUUACAGUUAACCUAGAAGGUUUGUAAUGCAUUAUUUAGUUGUAGUAGGAUAGGUAUUUUGGGACAGUUUUGGAAUUUCCACUUUGUCUAAGCUUUCUUGCCAAUAAAUAAUAAAACAAAAUCCCCAACA